rnacentral:rRNA from 1 species
GACAGCAGCCGCCACGGUAACACGUAGGGUGCAAGCGUUAAUCGGAAUUACUGGGCGUAAAGCGUGCGCAGGCGGUUAUAUAAGACAGAUGUGAAAUCCCCGGGCUCAACCUGGGAACUGCAUUUGUGACUGUAUAGCUAGAGUACGGCAGAGGGGGAUGGAAUUCCGCGUGUAGCAGUGAAAUGCGUAGAUAUGCGGAGGAACACCGAUGGCGAAGGCAAUCCCCUGGGCCUGUACUGACGCUCAUGCACGAAAGCGUGGGGAGCAAACAGGAUUAGAUACCCCUGUAGUCCCUGUCUCUUAUAA